CACUAAUCCACACCUGUCUGACCAUUAAAACAUGACAUAAUUACAGCUCAUAGAUGAGCCCUAUAUAAGAGCGGAGGAGGGCCAUGGGACACAUUGUAGGCACCUGCUGGAUAGGUCGCAGUUUGACAUCCUAUUCGAAGCAAAUCUCAUUCUCUGUGGCAUAUUUUACCGUUUUCUCUCCAUCAUGAAGUGCAUGAUCACACAAAUCUGGAUGUUGGCUCUGCUGGUCUCCGUGGCUCAGACUAAUGUGACAGUGACAACCGAUGUGGUAACCACUGAUGAUACUUCAAAUACAGAUUCAACUAUUCUGUUAACAACUGAUGAAACUUUAGUUGCAAGCACAGAUCCAACCACUGUGCCAACAACUGUAGAUUCUACAACUACAACUACAGCUCAACCCACUGUUCCGACAAUUUAUACUACUUCAUCCGUAAUAACCAGAAUAUAUACUUCAGAGACAACUUCAUCAGAUCAGCCAACCACAAUGUCUCCAUCUUCAGAGCCCACCACGAUUCAAACGACUGGAUUUACUAGCAACAUAACUAUGACCACAAUGACAAAUACCUCGAUGACAACAGAAAGACAGACCUCAAUUUCGACGACUACAUCAUUCAGCGACUCACUGAAUGUUCACAUUAUCAGCUAUACUCUAUCCAUCUUGCUGUACAUGGUGUUGAAUUGAGCAUUACCCGAUUCAGCCCUGGACUAAAAAAAAAAGCUAAGCCUGACUGUUUAACAACUAACUGUAGUAUAUAGCCUAAGUAAUAUAUGAAGGUAAAGUAAAGACUAUAUGUAUAUAUAUAUAUAUAUAUAUAUAUAUAUAUAUAUAUAUAUAUAUAUAUAUAUAUAUAUAUAUAUAUAUAUAUAUAUAUAUAUAUAUAUAUAUAAUGAGUAUAUAAAUGACUAUUACAUUUACAGUAGUAUAAGGCAAAACUUAACAACAGAUAAUAGUUUAAUUGAUUGAAUGUUUGUUAUAAUUACACAAACUUAACAGCUCACGCUUAAAUGCUAGAAAUUAGAAAUUAGCUUUGAUGAUAAAUAUAAACUAUUUAUAUGCAUGAAUUUAUAAAAUUAGCUUUUUAAUUAAUUUUUUUUUCAAUUAAUGAGUUGGAGCAAGAAGUCCAGCCAACAAGACAGUGUCCAUGAACUAAUGUAUGUAUAAAGUGGCUUCAUUAGAUGGCUUCAUUCAAGUGCUUGAUGCAUCACAGAUGUGGACUUCCUUAAAAAUGAAACUAAGAUUCGAAAUGAAAAAUGUAUACUACUUUUAACAAGUUGUAAUGAUUUAAGCCCAGUUUAUUAAAGGCUUUUUAUCCUACCACAUAAUGAAAAUUUUAUAGUUUAAAAUAAUGGCUGAAAUAAAGAAACAAUUGUAUCUGUUGA